rnacentral:rRNA from 1 species
GAGGAAUAUUGGUCAAUGGACGGAAGUCUGAACCAGCCAUGCCGCGUGCAGGAAGACGGCUCUAUGAGUUGUAAACUGCUUUUGUACGAGGGUAAACGCAGAUACGUGUAUCUGCCUGAAAGUAUCGUACGAAUAAGGAUCGGCUAACUCCGUGCCAGCAGCCGCGGUAAUACGGAGGAUCCAAGCGUUAUCCGGAUUUAUUGGGUUUAAAGGGUGCGUAGGCGGUUUAGUAAGUCAGCGGUGAAAUUUUGGUGCUUAACACCAAACGUGCCGUUGAUACUGCUGGGCUAGAGAGUAGUUGCGGUAGGCGGAAUGUAUGGUGUAGCGGUGAAAUGCCUAGAGAUCAUACAGAACACCGAUUGCGAAGGCAGCUUACCAAACUAUAUCUGACGUUGANGCACGAAAGCGUGGGGAGCAAACAGGAUUAGAUACCCUGGUAGUCCACGCAGUAAACGAUGAUAGCUCGUUGUCGGCGAUACACAGUCGGUGACUAAGAGAAAUCGAUAAGCUAUCCACCUGGGGAGUACGUUCGCAAGAAUGAAACUCAAAGGA